AUUUUGGUCAAUGGGCGCAAGCCCGAUCCAGCCAUGCCGCGUGCGUGUGGAAGGCCUUCGGGUUGUAAACCUCUUUCGGACGGACCGGAAUCGCGCAGGCUAAUACCCCGCGCGGAUGCCGCUACCAACAUAAGACGAACCGCCUAACUACGUCGUAGCAGCCGCGGUAAUACGUAGGGUGCGAGCGUUAAUCGGCAGGACUGGGCGUAAGGAGUGCGCAGGUGGGUGAUUAAGACAGGCGUGGAAGCCCCGGGCUUAACCUGGGAAGGGCGCUUGUGACAGGUCGGCAAGAGAACGGCAGAGGGGGGUGGAAUUCCACGUGUAGCAGUGAAAUGCGUAGAGAUGUGGAGGAACACCGAUGGCGGAGGCAGCCCCCUGGGCCGAUACUGACGCUCAUGCACGAGAGAGUGGGUAGCAAACAGG
rnacentral:rRNA from 1 species